CCCCUUCCCAUCGGGCGCCCCAGUCCUUAUAUUUCCACUGCCGCCUCGGCGGCUAUGGCGAUAAACGUCCUAUGGAAUAAGCGUUGCGGACCCGGGGGCAGUACCCGGCGCCUCCACCACUUCCCAUCCGGCCCAUGAGGGCCUGCCUUGGGGGCGAACCAGGAUCGACGCGCGUGGUAAAGGUAGGAUUUUUGCCCGGCAUGAUACCGCCGUUAUCGGGUCAAACUCUAAGUGCGAACGACAACGAGUACGCACUCGCUGCUUAACUAAGCAAGCGCGGCCCGGGGGGCGCCGGGCAACAGAAGCCCCCCACC
rnacentral:tmRNA from 1 species